rnacentral:lncRNA from 1 species
GUUGGGUGUUUGGGGCUUUCUAGGGCCCUAGAUCAAGGAGAAAAAAAAGAGAAGAAAAGAGAAAAAUGAUUCUUCUCUUGGGUCACUCUUUUGGAUUCUUCUAGGAUUUAGGAUUUCAUAUUAUUUCCUGCAUGAGAAAUCAGAUUAGAUCUAAUUUUUAUCAUGAAAAAUUAGAAAAGAAAAGUUCUUCUUGAUGACGCAAAAAGGAAGAG